GGAGUAAACUAUUUCCUUUCUUGGAAUUAGGUAAUCUCAGCCAGGAAAGGAGAGUUUGAAACUGGAUUUGAAAAAGGAGGACAGACAAGAGAACAUGCAAUGUUGGCAAAGACAGCAGGUGUAAAACACCUAAUUGUGCUAAUUAAUAAGAUGGAUGAUCCAACAGUAAAUUGGAGCAAUGAGAGAUAUGAAGAAUGUAAAGAGAAACUAGUGCCAUUUUUGAAAAAAGUUGGCUUCAAUCCCAAAAAGGACAUUCACUUUAUGCCCUGCUCAGGACUUACUGGAGCAAAUCUCAAAGAGCAGUCGGAUUUCUGUCCUUGGUACAUUGGAUUACCGUUUAUUCCAUAUCUGGAUAAUUUGCCAAACUUCAAUAGAUCAGUUGAUGGACCAAUCAGGCUGCCAAUUGUGGAUAAGUACAAGGAUAUGGGCACUGUGGUCCUGGGAAAGCUGGAAUCAGGAUCUAUUUGUAAAGGCCAGCAGCUUGUGAUGAUGCCAAACAAG
rnacentral:sRNA from 1 species